rnacentral:rRNA from 1 species
GGACUACUGGGGUUUCUAAUCCUGUUUGAUCCCCACGCUUUCGUGCCUCAGCGUCAGUUACAGUUUAGUGAGCUGCCUUCGCAAUCGGUGUUCUAUGUCAUCUCUAAGAAUUUCACCUCUACAUGACAUAUUCCGCCCACUUCAAAUGUACUCAAGAUCAUCAGUAUCAAUGGCAUUUUCCAUGUUAAGCAUGGAGCUUUCACCACUGACUUAAUAAUCCGCCUACGCACCCUUUAAACCCAAUAAAUCCGGAUAACGCUUGGAUCCUUCGUAUUACCGCGGCGGCUGGCAC